rnacentral:sRNA from 1 species
CAGUGAUAUUGUGCCUAACGGCACAGUGAGAUUGUUGCUACGCAACAGUGAUAUGCACGCAAAGCGUGCGUGAUAUUGCAC